rnacentral:rRNA from 1 species
AUGACUAGGGAUAACCUUAGGAAGAGACACAUCAUCAAACCCCUUGAUUGUGUUUACUGCUUGGAACAAGAGUCUUGUUCUCACCUAUUUUUUGAAUGUAUAGUUGCUAAACAUCUCUGGGCCCACAUUGAGGAAUAUUUCUCUAGUCAGAUUGGCUCAUCCUUCAAAUCUGUCGCCAGAUUCUGGAUUGUUACCAAAAAGUGCUCAGUUUUAAACACUGUUAGCUCAGUUGUCCUUUGGUGCCUCUGAAAAUAUAGAAAUGCUAUGAUUUUCAGUAACACCUCCUGGAUUUCCAUCCCGCAGGUCUUGAGGUUGAUCAGGAACAUGGUGAGGAACUGGGCGAUUCUCUCCUCCGGAUCGGACAAGGACAAGUUGAUGAGCUUUGUGGAAACCCUAACAAGAUCCCUCCAGAAACCGUUGGCGAUCACUUGUGGCUGA